rnacentral:tRNA from 3 species
GGGCCAGUAGCUUAGCUUGGUGGAGCACUCGGCUGAUAACCGAGAGGUCCCCGGUUCAAAUCCGGGUUGGCCCA